CGAAAUCAGAAUCAUCGAGGGAGAUACGAUCUGAUGUAGUUCCGUUUGCCCGCUGCUGCUAGGAAGUCUUUUCUGAUAGCAUUUGAGCUUCGUUAACUGCACCACGAGGGUGGGUUUGCGCUUUCAGCUGCUAAGGUGCUAUUUUCCUUUCCUUGCCAACCCUAAAAUGUUACCGCCAGACAGCACCGUGGCGAUUGAAUUACUUCAAGGAUAGUUCAUAUAGAUCCAGUGGCUUCUCGAAUGCGUUCUUUUUGCUUUCUCGACAUGUUAAUGCCUCGACAUGUAAGCUACUCGAGGGGUAUGCGUGUAUGGGUUCCAAGCAGAGUAGAAAUAAUUCAAUGUGGGAGUGGUAAUUCGGGUGCUGGUGUCUUUAUUUUUGCACAAAACUCAACAUCAGGCAUCAAACGCGACGCUGAAAGUUCGGGUUUGAUGCCAGAGCCACCGUCGCACAGGUGACCCGGGCUCGGUCCCCAGCAGCGGUUCAAGGGUGAUACUUUUCACUGUUUCAUCGGUUUUGCUGGCUAGUGUGCAUUUGAGUCGGCUGUGCAUGGUUUCGUCACCUCUUGAUGAAGUCCUGCUGUUGUUGAAUGCUCUUGCUUGUUUGCAACAACAUCGUGUUGCAAGGCUUCGGGAACCAGCUCUAUUUUGAGUUAUUGUGUCUUGGAAGAAACAUUAGAGAGGUGACAAAUACGGUGAUUAGUAGAGACCAAUGAAAAGUCUUUUCUAUAUUAACUAUUGGGUGUAAUUCUUGCUUGUUUUAAUCCUUCUUUGAUAUGA